GAUGAACGCUGGCGGCGUGCCUAAUACAUGCAAGUCGAGCGAACAGACGAGGAGCUUGCUCCUCUGACGUUAGCGGCGGACGGGUGAGUAACACGUGGAUAACCUACCUAUAAGACUGGGAUAACUUCGGGAAACCGGAGCUAAUACCGGAUAAUAUAUUGAACCGCAUGGUUCAAUAGUGAAAGACGGUUUUGCUGUCACUUAUAGAUGGAUCCGCGCCGCAUUAGCUAGUUGGUAAGGUAACGGCUUACCAAGGCGACGAUGCGUAGCCGACCUGAGAGGGUGAUCGGCCACACUGGAACUGAGACACGGUCCAGACUCCUACGGGAGGCAGCAGUAGGGAAUCUUCCGCAAUGGGCGAAAGCCUGACGGAGCAACGCCGCGUGAGUAAUGAAGGUCUCCGGAUCGUAAAACUCUGUUAUUAGGGAAGAACAAAUGUGUAAGUAACUAUGCACGUCUUGACGGUACCUAAUCAGAAAGCCACGGCUAACUACGUG
rnacentral:rRNA from 1 species